UACGUAGGGGGCAAGCGUUGUCCGGAUUUAUUGGGCGUAAAGAGCGUGUAGGCGGCCAUACAGGUCAGCUGUGAAAACUCGAGGCUCAACCUCGAGACGUCGGUUGAAACCGUAUGGCUAGAGUCCGGAAGAGGAGAGUGGAAUUCCCGGUGUAGCGGUGAAAUGCGCAGAUAUCGGGAAGAACACCCGUGGCGAAGGCGGCUCUCUGGGAAGAUACUGACGCUGAGGUGCGAAAGCGUGGGGAGCAAACAGG
rnacentral:rRNA from 1 species